GCUCCAGACUCCUACGGGAGGCAGCAGUGGGGAAUAUUGCACAAUGGGCGCAAGCCUGAUGCAGCCAUGCCGCGUGUAUGAAGAAGGCCUUCGGGUUGUAAAGUACUUUCAGCGGGGAGGAAGGCGAUAAGGUUAAUAACCUUGUCGAUUGACGUUACCCGCAGAAGAAGCACCGGCUAACUCCGUGCCAGCAGCCGCGGUAAUACGGAAGGUGCAAGCGUUAAUCGGAAUUACUGGGCGUAAAGCGCACGCAGGCGUUCUGUCAAGUCGGAUGUGAAAUCCCCGGUCUCAACCUGGGAACUGCAUUCGAAUCUGGCAGGCUGGAGUCUUGUAGAGGGGGGUAGAAUUCCAGGUGUAGCGGUGAAAUGCGUAGAGAUCUGGAGGAAUACCGGUGGCGAAGGCGGCCCCCUGGACGAAGACUGACUCUCAGGUGCGAAAGCGUGGGGAGCACACAGGAUUAGAUACCCGAGUAA
rnacentral:rRNA from 1 species